ACCCCAAAGUGUUCAACAGACCCCAAAAGAAUUUUAUGGACCCCAAAAGGAUUUUAUGGACCCCAAAGUGUUCCACAGACCCCAAAAGGAUUUUAUGGACCCCAAAGUGUUCCAGAGACCCCA
rnacentral:lncRNA from 1 species